UCCCCCGUGGCGCAAUUGGCUAGCGCGUUCGACUGUUACCACUCUCACGAGUCAAGCAAUCGGGAGGUUGGUGGUUCGAGCCCACCCGGGGGAG